UACGAAGGGGGCCAGCGUUGCUCGGAAUUACUGGGCGUAAAGCGCACGUAGGCGGCUUUCUAAGUCGGGGGUGAAAUCCUGGAGCUCAACUCCAGAACUGCCUUCGAUACUGGAGAGCUUGAGUCCGGGAGAGGUGAGUGGAACUGCGAGUGUAGAGGUGAAAUUCGUAGAUAUUCGCAAGAACACCAGUGGCGAAGGCGGCUCACUGGCCCGGUACUGACGCUGAGGUGCGAAAGCGUGGGGAGCAAACAGGAUUGAGAACCCG
rnacentral:rRNA from 1 species